GAUGAACGCUGGCGGCAUGCCUAACACAUGCAAGUCGGACGGGAAGUGGUGUUUCGAGUGGCGGACGGGGGAGUAACGCGCAAGAACCUGCUGUCGGGAGGGGAACAACAGCUGGAAACGGCUGCUAAUACCGCGUAGGCUCACGAGAAAAAUGAGGAAGCCGCAGGUGAAGGGAAUCGCGCCUGGGUAUCUAGUUGGUGAGGCACUAGCUUACCAAGGCGGUGAGCAGAAGCUGCUCCGAGGGAAUGAUCAGCCGCACUAGGACCGAGAUGCAGCCCGGACUCAGGAAGAUGGGAGCAGGGGGGAGUGUUCCGCACUGUCCGCAAGCGUGAAGGAGCAAUGCCGCGUGGGGGUAAAAAUGCUUCGGGACAUGAACUUCUCUUCCCGGGUGAGAGGAGCUGACGGUAGCUUAGGAAUAAGCACCGGCUAACUCUGUG
rnacentral:rRNA from 1 species